ACUUAUAGAGAAGAAGAAGAGGACUCACAGCUCGCAUGCGGCUCUGCCACACCUCUAUGAAGACGGGCGAGGAGGCGUUGACCAGAGAUGCAUUCUGGGUCCAGGCUGGGCAGGUCACUCCGGCAUGGAGAGCAUAGCCAUGGAGGGAGCGAGCAGGGUAAAGAACCUGCUGCUGUGUCGUCAAGAUAGGCCUACAGAUCACAGGUUUAAAAAAAAGCUAGUCGUUGCUGCCCUCUGGUGUUCGGAAGUAAUAACAACCUCCGCCCUGGUGUUACCUGGAGAACGUAUACUCUACGUUGGACAGAUGGGAUAACGUACUGGCCUAUGAUUGGCAGUGACGACCCGAGUCCAAACUGUGUUUAGACCAAGGACCUACUCCAGGCAACACACCCAUAGCUUUUCCUUGCCACUACCAUGUGACACAG